GGGCAGAUCUCUUUUGGAGAUUGCUCCUCUUGGAGUCUUCUCAGCAAGCCCAGGACAAGGGAUAUGCUUGGCAUAGCUAGCCUGAGAUUGCUAUUGGCUCAGCUGUGACAGAGCGCCAAGCAGGGCCCAGGAAGGCAGCAUCAGUGAGGAGGGCCUGAGCACGUCAGAACUCUCCACAAGCACUAUGCUCCCUGGGAAUGCUUGUUAAAGGGGAGAAGUACUUCUGUCUGCAUCUAGUGAAGUCAGCCCUGAAGUAGAUGAAAUGCUAAACUGCUCUGGCCAGAGAUUACGCAUCCUGAUGCUCCCAGGGAAAAUAUGUGUAAGUGUAAUCCCAUGAAUCCCAAGAGAAGACGUUGACUAAGAGACCAGAGAAGUCACUUGCUGUCCAAUCUCAUUUAAAACAGUGAGAGAAUUUCAUUCAACUGUAAUUGUGCCUCAAAUUGUUGUUGAAACAUUUGCUUCAGAAACAUUUCAAAGGUAUAUUCCUGUCAAAUAUUUGGAAGGAGUAAUUUAUAUGUAAUUUGAACAGCGGGCAGUUCUGCCAGCUUCAGAUGUCUUGAAACAUUACUGUUAAAGUGUACAUCACUAUAAAAAUAAAAAACACUAUGUAUAUUCCAUUUUUUAACCUGGUGUUGCUGUUAUCUGUGUAACAACAACAACAAAAAAAACUGUCUUUCUUUUCUUACUGAACUGCACAGAAUAAAUGCUGAUAAUCUUAAUACAUUUUUGAUCCAUUUAGGGCAACUGUGGUCUUAGGUGAUUGUAUUUUGGCAAAGGUGAUUUUACUCAUGUUUAUCUUAUGUUGUCCACGAGCUCAUACACUUGAUCAGUUACCAUGAAUUCAUUCUCUAAACUCCAUUCUUGGUUGAACCUAAUGUUUCAGCCAGGUCUCACACUUCCCAGACAAAAUCCUGGAUUGUCAAUGUCAUUAAGAAAUACAUAUGUUUUUGCUGGUGGUGAUAGGUGCAACUGUAAUGAAUGUUAGACAAGUUUUGAUAGAGAACCAACUAUUAUCCAACCUUUCUCAAAAGAGUGAUAAUAAACACAGUACUGAAACGAAACAAUUUAUCAAACAGUAACUAUGCCUCUCAAGGGAACAAGCCCUAUUUCAUAUUAUCCCAACUAAUUCCACACAUACACGUUUACAUUAGAAACACGCAAGAUAUUUUUUAGGUAAUCACUCUUUAUAUGUAUUCAUGAGACUUUAGCCAGAUAACUAAACCUGUACUCAUAAUGAGCUACACAUUCACACAAUUAAACAUUAGUUGUAUCACCACUGAUUUAAUAAGGAAAUAUAUGUUCUAGACAGUUGCAGUGACUAGAAGCUUAUAGCAGAAAUAACUGAAAAAUUUCAGCGUCUGUCACUAUCAUGGUGGAACAUUUACUUAGGGGCUGUGUUCAAAGAAUCUGAUGUAUUAAUGAGAGAAUUUUCAGACAUUAAUUUUCAGACUAAAAUGUAAGAAAAAUGGAAAUGAAAAUUUGAGAAUGAAGAUUUGUAGGUUGUACUCCAACAGUACUCUUAGGUUUGAUGUUUUGGAGCAGGGCUUAUGUAUGCUGUUUCUUAGUACUCUCAAAAUAGCAGGAAAAAAACUUCAUAUUGUAUUUUAGUCUAGAAAUGAAAGUUAAGAAAUAUUUUCAAGUCAUUGCACUGCAGCUUGAAGACAUUGAUGCCUUAGUCUUGCAGCUGUGUACUUUGCAAAGGUAUUGAUUUGCAGUAUUGAUUUUACUUCCAGAAAAAAAUAAUUGUACUUCUGGUAGAAAGCAGAGUUUGGCAUUCAUAAGUGCACUACAUUUUCAUAUAUACAUACCAAGGGAGGGGAUCUCUGGUUAUAGAAGUCAAUUCUAUUCUAGCCAUCUGUCAUCCAACUUACAAACAUUUCUAAUGUGUAUUGCAAAAUCAAAAGUUAAGUAGUAUAUUGCACUUAAUUUUAAAAACUCAUUGAGAACAAAAUAGUGAUGACUAUCUGAAUAGCUUUGUAAUUUUUUUCUUACAUAAGUUACAAAAAUCUAUUACGUUGUGAAAUAUUUGAUGAGGUUGGUAAAAAAUCUCAGAAUAACUGAUAUCUAUCACUGAAUUAACUCAAAAUACUUUGUUUUCCCUUACUAGUUUCUUAUCUGUGUUUACUUGUGUUUUGUUUUACUGCAUUUUAUAUAUGAAUCAAGAGAUCUAAUUAUAAGAGACAAGGGCAGGUUAUACUUAUUUCUACUGCUAGAGCCAGACACUUUCAAUUUUGAUAUGUUUGUAAUAACUUAUUUGUUCAUAUAUUCUUCAAAACGUAGAAUUUCCCUUGAGCCAUUAAAGACAAAAUUGAUGCCAAGAAAUUGUUGUUUUUCAUGCAUCUUUGCUCAGGAAUAUAUUCUACAAACAUGGCGUAACUUAAACCAACAGGGAAAACAAAACAAAACAAACAAACAAAAAAAAAA